CUAGCAUAAUUUCUGAUGAUCCUGCUGUAAAACCAUUUUCGGUUCUCACAUGUCACUGCCACAGCAGCUUGUCCGACUCAAAGAAACUGAAAAAGACACUGGACUCUGAUCAUGAUCCACACCUUGUUUGCACUCUUGUUCCUCCUUACUUAGGUUGCGCCCCUAAGAUCCACAAAAAUAUAUACUGAAGCUAAGAGAGAUGGUUAUAAAUAGAUUACUAAAAGUUGAAAACAAAGAAGAUGUACCAAGGAGCAGAUGAAGUUGCUUUAAACUCAGACUCGAGAUUGUCAAGCUCUAUGCCAUUAUCUUUUGCAAAUGACUCCAUCUG
rnacentral:lncRNA from 1 species